rnacentral:rRNA from 1 species
GACGAACGCUGGCGGCGUGCUUAACACAUGCCAGUCGAACGCUGAAGCUUGGUGCUUGCACUGGGUGGAUGAGUGGCGAACGGGUGAGUAAUACGUGAGUAACCUGCCCUUGACUCUGGGAUAAGCCUGGGAAACUGGGUCUAAUACUGGAUACGACAUGUCACCGCAUGGUGGUGUGUGGAAAGGGUUUUACUGGUUUUGGAUGGGCUCACGGCCUAUCAGCUUGUUGGUGGGGUAAUGGCUCACCAAGGCGACGACGGGUAGCCGGCCUGAGAGGGUGACCGGCCACACUGGGACUGAGACACGGCCCAGACUCCUACGGGAGGCAGCAGUGGGGAAUAUUGCACAAUGGGCGAAAGCCUGAUGCAGCGACGCCGCGUGAGGGAUGACGGCCUUCGGGUUGUAAACCUCUUUCAGCACGGAAGAAGCGAAAGUGACGGUACGUGCAGAAGAAGCGCCGGCUAACUACGUG